GAUGGUGCUUACAUUACGUCAUAAUUUGAAGGGGGAAAAUAAUAAUAAUGGGUCAAAGUCUCUAUUAAGCCCCAUGACGUAGGUGUGGAAACAGUGGCACCUGUUCACAAUUAUUUAGAAAAUAUAAAUAUGAAUAAUUUGCACUGCAGUUGCAUUUUUGGCGGAGAUGUGAGACAGAAUUUGAGGGGGAAAAAUCGUUUUAUGUUACUGCAUAGGACGGUGAUAAAUCGAAUAAUAAUAUUUAGUUUAUUGUAUAUUAAAAGUUUAAUUUAAUCACUGUGUAUACAGAAACGAAAGAUAUGUGUAACUUUGGCAAGUAGAAUACAGAAACAAACAAAAACAAAACUGAAUAUUAUACAGCGAUAAGACUUAUUCUGGACAGCAAAAAUCCAUCAAUUACUGUUUACAAUAAUACAUUUUAUGUGCAAAUCCAUAUGAAAUAAUAUAUUUAUAUAUUAUCAAAAAGUAGACGACGUCAUAAUAACGUGAAUAUAUAUUAAGAUUAUUAACUUGCCCUAAAAACUAAGUCAUCCUUUCUACAAAACUAGAAUCGCACAGACUCACAAUAAUGCUGUGUAAUAUUAUGUGUCCGCUAGAAAGAUACAUUGUGGCCGAAGCCUUUUCGUCAUAAGCGAGCGGCAUGACGUGGAGCCGCAUCAAACGCUUCCAUUCAGGCAGGGGCUUUAUUAUGCAGAAAUACUUAAAUGAUUGGCCUGAUAACAAAAUGAGUGAUCAUAAAUAAUAACGCGAGAGUUUGCAAGUUGCCUGCCGACUGUAGUCACAACUGUCAAAGGCAGCGGCGGAUAUACGCGCGCGACCCAGCACCCAUACUGUUACUGUACACGCUCGCGGAGAUAAUAUCCCUAUCAUACAAAUACACGGCAUAAUCCCGAGGUAAGGACCGGAAUCGCGCGACGCUGUGCCUUCCCCUCCGCUUUCCGUCGCGUUCACGUCUUCCAGCCUCGAUUACUGCACUAAACAUAUCCCCGUGCCUCCUUUAGCAACAGCGCGAGGGUUGUUUUUUUUUUUUUUUUUUUUUUUUACUCCUCCUUCGUAUUAAAGUCGCCAUUUUGCUUCACUGCCUAUGAAAGCUUCUUGUAUUUUCAUAUUUUUGGCGUCGUUUCUGCGUAUUUGUGCGCGUGCUUUUGAGUUGGAUUUUUAAUGCGAGAGCUCGUGGAUUACAUAGCUAUUAAUGAAGAGGGGCUCCGGGUGCAGUCUGGAAACACGGUGAAAGUGCUCGGCUUGAGGGCAUUUGCAUCAGCUUGCUCUGUCUUUCUUCCUCCUCCUUCUUCUUCAUCAUCCUCCUCCGCGGACACGCGCAGCGGGGGCCGUGAGUGUGGCUACCGACCGUGACGCCCGUCUGUCCGCGACCCCCCGCGCGUCAGGUGCGUUUGCCAUGUAAAGUCAAGCGGCGCGACGCGAGAGCAAAGGCUACAGCCUGACCCCACGUGGGUGACCCGCUCACCCGCUCACCCGUCAGUGUUGGGUGGCUUUCCAGGCAUGGACACCUCCAGCGGUGCCCGGGUGGUGAAGCCUUCCUCGGGCUUGUCAAAGGGGCGCACUGCCAAACAGGCCCACCCCGCAGAGACGGCCCGAAUGUGCAGCACUGAAAACAACAAUCACGGUUCCUCCUAUAAUGAGAAAUCCGAGGGUAAGAAGAAAGGACGCCCUCGCGUGGAGGUGCAGGAGCUGCGCAUUAUUCCCGCACAUAUGAUGGUUCAGUGGAAAGAGGAAUUUAAGAGUCGUUCCAGGGUGAAAUGUCCAUGCUCAGGCUGCUGGUUGGAGUUCCCCAGUAUUUACGGACUUAAAUAUCACUAUCAGCGAUGCCAAGGGGCGACCAUCGCAGAGAAGCUGAGUCACAGAUGCCCGUACUGUGAGGCUGUGUUUGCCACCAAGGUGCGUCUUCAGAAGCACAAGCUGUGGAACCACCCAGAAAGGGUCCCCAUGGAGAACAAGUCCGGGGUCACCUCGGACACCAAAUCUGAUCCCAAUUCCGAACCCAAACAACAGAAAAGCCCUGCGAAGGGAAAUGCCAAAAAAAGGCCCAUGGAGAACAGCCCUCCAUCACCCACCAUUUUCAAGGUGAAGAAGACCCAGGAGGUGUCUCGGCCCUCACAGAAUGGGGAGUGCGCCCCCCUGAGGCUGGACAGGAGACAGCAGCAGGGGACGUCUGUAGACACUGGGGGCAGUGAGAGCGAGGGGAGCAGUUUACCCCCACCCUUCCCUGAGGAGGACCCUGAGAGAAUGAAGCACAGGAGGAAGCAGAAAACUCCAAAGAAGUUCACCGGGGAGCAGCCGUCUAUUUCAGGAACAUUCGGUUUGAAAGGAAUGAAUAAGGUGGAGGAGAAGUUGAAAGCAGGUCGGAUGAAGAGGGCGGAAGGGGCUCUGUUCUCUGAGGAGUCCCAGAAGAAACAGUCAGGUCAAGCUCCCUCCAGAAAAGAAACUGCUGCUAUCAGUUCAGUUCCCCCUGCUGAAGCCCAGUGGCAGAACACUAUCUCUGAGAGAGGGGAAGUGGUCUGUCCCACCUGCUCUGUUGUCACUCGCAAGACUGUCCAUGGACUCAAGAAGCACAUGGAGAUCUGUCAGAAGCUGCGGGACGCUCUCAAAUGUCAGCAGUGUCAGAAACAGUUCCGAUCAAAAGCUGGACUCAAUUACCACAGCAUGGCUGACCACAUUAAGCCCUCGGUGAGUGAAAAUGUGUCUGAGGAGGAGCAGGAGGAGAGAGAGAGGCUACGCUGCAUCCUCAAACAGAUGGGCCAAAUCAAAUGUACCAGUGAGGGCUGUUCAGCUCAUUUUUCCAGUCUGAUGAGUUAUCAGUAUCAUCGGAAACGCUGUGGCAGAGAGCUGCCAGACAGACAUAAGCCUGUCUUCCUGUGCCAGCACUGUGGUAAGACCUAUCGCUCAAAAGCUGGCCGUGACUACCACCUGCGCACCGAGCACCGAGUAACUGCCCUGUCCACACACUCACUCACAGCUGAGUACUGGAAACAGGAAGACAGUAAAGAUGAGGAUGUGCUGGAGGAGGACGAGGAGGAGGAGGAGGAAAAAGAGGAACAGGAAGACCCUGUGCAGAAGAAGGGCAUAGAGAAGUCAAAGGAGAGAGUAGACGAGCCAGUGGAGAAGAUGGAGGAGAGGAAGGAGGAGAAAACAGAGAUGGAGGAACUGCUCGAUUUGGAGAGGACGCCCAGUGGCAGGGUGCGCCGGCGCUCUGCUCAGGUGGCAGUGUUCCACCUGCAGGAGAUCGCAGAGGACGAGCUGGCCAAAGACUGGGGCACCAAACGACGCAUCAAAGAUGACCUUGUACCAGACAUCAAGAGGCUCAACUAUACACGACCAGGCCUUCCCAACUUUAGCCCAGAAACUGUGAACAGCUGGAAGAAUGAGGUGAAGGAAAAAGGAUUUAUCUGCUGCCCCAAUUGUACCUGUGAGGCUAUCUACUCAAGUGUAUCUGGACUUAAAGCACACUUGGCAAGCUGUAACAAGGGAGGGGGCGACGUAGGGAAGUACACUUGUUUGCUCUGUAAGAAGGAGUUUAACUCUGAGAGCGGCGUGAAGUACCAUAUCAGCAAGACACACUCUCAGAACUGGUUUCGGGCAUCUACCAACGAGGUGACUAACAACAAGAAAAAAGAGCCUGAGAGCAAUGGCUUACAGAAGGACAUGAAAAACAAAGUGCCUGGGAAGAGGAGGGGACGAAAGCCCAAAGAGCACCACCUGGUGACAGCCCCCUUUCCAGCAGAGACUCAGAGCUUCAGCCCAGCUCCAGCUCCGUUUCCACCACGGACUGUAAGCCCCGCCCCAGAAAGCCAAACCCCCACGCCUAACCCCAUUACCAACACCACAACCACACCCCCUGCCCCAGUGGACAGUGGGAAUCCAGCCCAAGCCAGAGACACACAGCCCCCUAGAAAGAAAAGAAGCAAAACUAAGAAAGCGUCAGCCACAGAGUAACAUGGCUUUUACUUUGUCAACACCAGAAGGGAUGCUUUCCGAAGUUCUCCGGAUAAAACUUUAGUCAAUUCGGUCAUGGAAAUGAUGAACAGCACAGAAGAACAAGCUCAGAAAGAUGAACGUCAGAACAAGGGGAUGAAAAACAGCAGAAAACAAUGAUUUGCUCUUGUAUUGAUUUCACACUGAUCGUUGUGUUUUUUAAGCUGAGUAUAUACAUGAUGUGGGUUCUUGUGUAUACUGAUAUAUAUAUAUAUAUAUAUUACUCCUGUUGUUUUUCAUUCCAUUUUUAUAGUUAAUUUUAAUGAGUUGUUCACUCUAAAGGGGUCAAUAAUAUUUAAGCUCCCAGUUGCUAUAUAGUGUGUA